GCAGCCGCCGCGGUAAUACGUAGGUGGCAAGCGUUGUCCGGAAUUAUUGGGCGUAAAGUGCUCGCAGGCGGUUUCUUAAGUCUGAUGUGAAAGCCCCCGGCUCAACCGGGGAGGGUCAUUGGAAACUGGGAAACUUGAGUGCAGAAGAGGAGAGUGGAAUUCCACGUGUAGCGGUGAAAUGCGUAGAGAUGUGGAGGAACACCAGUGGCGAAGGCGACUCUCUGGUCUGUAACUGACGCUGAGGAGCGAAAGCGUGGGGAGCGAACAGGAUUAGAUACCCGCGUAGUCCCUGUCUCUUAUAC
rnacentral:rRNA from 1 species